UUAAAAGUAAGUUAAUUUUAAACUGUAGGUUUGUGGAACCUGAUAUCUUUAUGUUUCUGAGUUU
rnacentral:tRNA from 1 species